AUGAGAAGAAAUUGAACAUAGAAUACGAUCUGAAUAUGAAAGAGAUUUCAACUCUUGAACAAUCAAUGAAGGUGAAGAGAAUUGCUACAGAUGAUUCCAAGAGAAAACUGAGUUUUAAAGGAUGAAGAUUUUGAUGCCAUGGAUUGCCAGCUCAUUGAUGCCAUGGAUCACCAGCUCAUCAAUUCAUGCCAUGGAUCGCCAGCUCAUCAAUCUUCCUCUGCUCCAGAUUCUUCAGCUAACGACUCUCCUCUGCUCUAGCUUCCUCUGUUCCAGCCUUCUCUGCCUCAGUUACUUCGCUAAGUCUGAUUCUUCCACUAUUAUUAGCUCCUGUGUUUAAUUGCUCUUUUGAUAUCUGUUUUAUC